CCUACGGGAGGCAGCAGUAGGGAAUAUUGGGCAAUGGAGGCAACUCUGACCCAGCCAUGCCGCGUGCAGGAAGACGGUCCUCUGGAUUGUAAACUGCUUUGAAUGGGAAGAAUGUGCUCCUUGCGAGGGGUAAUGACGGUACCAUUAGAAUAAGCCACGGCUAACUACGUGCCAGCAGCCGCGGUAAUACGUAGGUGGCGAGCGUUAUCCGGAUUUAUUGGGUUUAAAGGGUGCGUAGGCGGCUUAAUAAGUCGGUGGUUAAAAGUAGCAGCUUAACUGUUUUACAUGCCAUCGAUACUGUUGAGCUUGAGAUAUUUGGAGGCAGCUAGAAUUUCCGGUGUAGCGGUGAAAUGCAUAGAUACCGGAAGGAAUACCAAUUGCGAAGGCAGGUUGCUACGAAUAAACUGACGCUGAUGCACGAAAGCGUGGGGAUCAAACAGGAUUAGAUACCCUGGUAGUCCACGCCGUAAACGAUGAUUACUAGUUGUUGGGUUUAAGCCUCNUGACGACGGAACGAAGUAAGUAAUACACNCGGAGACGCGCGACGAGACGACAAGAAGUAGAGCGNGAGAGNGCGAGACGACGACGAGGAGGAG
rnacentral:rRNA from 1 species